GCCCUUAGAGUUUGAUCCUGGCUCAGGAUGAACGCUGGCGGUAUGCUUUACACAUGCAAGUCGUACGAGAGUUUUUAACUCAAGUGGCGGACGGGUGAGUAACACGUAAGAAUUUGCCUUUAGGAGGGGGAUAACAACUGGAAACGGUUGCUAAUACCCCAUAUGCUUUCGAGUAAAAUGGGUUUUCCGCCUAAAGAGAAGCUUGCGGCUGAUUAGCUUGUUGGUGAGGUAAUGGCUCACCAAGGCGACGAUCAGUAUCUGGUUUGAGAGGACGAUCAGACACACUGGAACUGAGACACGGUCCAGACUCCUACGGGAGGCAGCAGUGGGGAAUUUUCCGCAAUGGGCGAAAGCCUGACGGAGCAAUACCGCGUGAGGGAUGACGGCCUAUGGGUUGUAAACCUCUUUUUUCAGGGAGGAAUCAAUGACGUGUACCUGAAGAAUAAGCAUCGGCUAACUCCGUGCCAGCAGCCGCGGUAAGACGGAGGAUGCAAGUGUUAUCCGGAAUCACUGGGCGUAAAGCGUCUGUAGGUGGUCAAAUAAGUCAACUGUUAAAUCUUGAGGCUCAACCUCAAAAUCGCAGUCGAAACUAUUCGACUAGAGUAUAGUAGGGGUAAAGGGAAUUUCCAGUGGAGCGGUGAAAUGCGUAGAGAUUGGAAAGAACACCGAUGGCGAAGGCACUUUACUGGGCUAUUACUAACACUGAGAGACGAAAGCUAGGGUAGCAAAUGGGAUUAGAUACCCCAGUAGUCCUAGCCGUAAACAAUGGAUACUAGAUGUUGAACAGAUCGACCUGUGCAGUAUCAAAGCUAACGCGUUAAGUAUCCCGCCUGGGAAGUAUGCUCGCAAGAGUGAAACUCAAAUGAAUUGACGGGGAAGGGC
rnacentral:rRNA from 1 species